GACUAACGCUGGCGGUAUGCCUUAGACAUGCAAGUCGAACGAGUUUCCGGGCUUGCUCGGAAAUUAGUGGCGAACGGCUGAGUAACGCGUAGGUGACCUACCCCGUAGUGUGGAAUAACUGCCCGAAAGGGUAGCUAAUACCGCAUGUUGAGCCGACAUCAAUGUCGUCUCCAAAGCAGAAAUGCGCUAUGGGCGGGGCCUGCGUUCGAUUAGCUAGUUGGUGGGGUAAUGGCUCACCAAGGCGACGAUCGAUAGGUGGUCUGAGAGGACGAUCACCCAGACUGGGACUGAGACACGGCCCAUACUCCUACGGGAGGCAGCAGUCGGGAAUU
rnacentral:rRNA from 1 species